UCAAAUAGUUGGCAACCGCUUGUCUCUUGAUCACUUUUGCUGGUAUGAUACUUAUAUAAAAUUCAUUUAAUUCAACAACCUAUUUUGUUAACCUUCCUGAUACGUCCGGCUUAUGCAACAACUGUAACAAUGGGAAUUCCGUCGGGACAGUGAUCCAAUGUGCCCGAAAAUAAGGUUUUAGUCGCCUUGCUGUUGUUACCACUGCCAAUCCCAGCUUUUCAAUUUGCGGGUAUCUUAUUUCUUCCCCUUGAAUGGCGUGAUAGUAAUAAUAAAUGGACUUUUGUCGUGUGCCCCUUCUUUCAGACACUAGAACUGCACUGAUAGCAUUGUCGGAUGCUGCUAUAUAUAACUUUAAUGGUUUCCCCGGGAAUGGGGCUGUAAAGUUGGCAAAUUUUUCAGCUGCUCCUUUAGGCGUUCGAACGCUUCUUCGCAUUCAUCAUAUCUUCUCUUGAGCUUCUGUUGGAAGAGCUGGGGCGCGAGUUGGUACAUCAGCA
rnacentral:lncRNA from 1 species